GGCGGACGGGUGAGUAAUGCAUAGGAAUCUGCCCGAUAGUGGGGGAUAACCUGGGGAAACCCAGGCUAAUACCGCAUACGUCCUACGGGAGAAAGGGGGCUUCGGCUCCCGCUAUCGGAUGAGCCUAUGUCGGAUUAGCUGGUUGGUGAGGUAAUGGCUCACCAAGGCGACGAUCCGUAGCUGGUCUGAGAGGAUGAUCAGCCACAUCGGGACUGAGACACGGCCCGAACUCCUACGGGAGGCAGCAGUGGGGAAUAUUGGACAAUGGGGGCAACCCUGAUCCAGCCAUGCCGCGUGUGUGAAGAAGGCCCUCGGGUUGUAAAGCACUUUCAGUGAGGAAGAACGCCUGGUGGUUAAUACCCAUCAGGAAAGACAUCACUCACAGAAGAAGCACCGGCUAACUCCGUGCCAGCAGCCGCGGUAAUACGGAGGGUGCGAGCGUUAAUCGGAAUUACUGGGCGUAAAGCGCGCGUAGGUGGCUUGAUAAGCCGGUUGUGAAAGCCCCGGGCUCAACCUGGGAACGGCAUCCGGAACUGUCAAGCUAGAGUGCAGGAGAGGAAGGUAGAAUUCCCGGUGUAGCGGUGAAAUGCGUAGAGAUCGGGAGGAAUACCAGUGGCGAAGGCGGCCUUCUGGACUGACACUGACACUGAGGUGCGAAAGCGUGGGUAGCAAACAGGAUUAGAUACCCUGGUAGUCCACGCCGUAAACGAUGUCGACCAGCCGUUGGGUGCCUAGCGCACUUUGUGGCGAAGUUAACGCGAUAAGUCGACCGCCUGGGGAGUACGGCCGCAAGGUUAAAACUCAAAUGAAUUGACGGGGGCCCGCACAAGCGGUGGAGCAUGUGGUUUAAUUCGAUGCAACGCGAAGAACCUUACCUACUCUUGACAUCCUGCGAACUUGUGAGAGAUCACUUGGUGCCUUCGGGAACGCAGAGACAGGUGCUGCAUGGCUGUCGUCAGCUCGUGUUGUGAAAUGUUGGGUUAAGUCCCGUAACGAGCGCAACCCUUGUCCUUAUUUGCCAGCGCGUAAAGGCGGGAACUCUAAGGAGACUGCCGGUGACAAACCGGAGGAAGGUGGGGACGACGUCAAGUCAUCAUGGCCCUUACGAGUAGGGCUACACACGUGCUACAAUGGUCGGUACAAAGGGUUGCCAACUCGCGAGAGUGAGCCAAUCCCGAAAAGCCGAUCUCAGUCCGGAUCGGAGUCUGCAACUCGACUCCGUGAAGUCGGAAUCGCUAGUAAU
rnacentral:rRNA from 1 species